ACUCAUAAAGCUACAUUUUAAUCCACAGAUCUUUUUUCCAAGAUAUUUCAAAUCAAACUUGUGUUGUAGUAAAUAGAGACGUUUGACUGCCAAGCAUCUUGUUAAAGUAACCAGUGAGACAACUGCACUCAAGUUUUAUCUGCUGCCAAAAAAAAUACUUCCCACACACACACACACACACACACACACACACACACACACACACACACACACACACACACAGGCUUCUGGCUGACACGUUUCCAAAGAUGGAGGAUCUUUUGUGGAGGACGGCUCUUGCGUAAGGCAACAGGAGGCAGUGAUUGAUGAAGCAUCAUUCCACCUGAAGCAGAGGAGGAGACAUUACACUCUCACAACACUUUUUAAAGAAACUCCAAAGCAGAUAUGUUAGCAGUGUAAUGAAGUGAUGCCUUUGCAGAUGCUUGCAGUACACAUGCACAUGAAAAACUGUCCUCUGAUGAGACUGGUGAUGAAGUGGGAGCAAAAUGUUGUGUAAAUGUUCAGCCCUCUGAGUUACGUGUUGUUGGAGAAUAAGUGCAGGAUAAUUCUAGCACAUAAACUAAAAAUCCAAAAUCACUUCAGCUCCCUUUGCACCGAUAAUCAUCUUUUGUUUCAGUCAAACCAGAUGCAUGGAGCGCUGCUUGUGUGUAGAGAGGCGUCCCUCUGCUGCUCUUCAGCUCCGGGAUCCUGCUAGUUUAGAGUUACUGGAAAGAUCUGAAGCUCCAAUUAUGAAUACUUCACGGCUACUUAGUCGUAGUUAAAAACGUGGCUACGCAUUUCAGCCAUUAAGGCCUUCAUCAGGUCGCCUUCAGGCUGCUUCCUGUAUAUGUACGAUCCGUUUGGACAUUAAUCACAUGAUUAAUAGCGUAGCAGGUAAACUCAUCUUUUGUUUCAGCUAUUUGUAACACGAAGCAACGUUCUUUCAAAUUUCAGGUGGUUUGUCCUCCCAGAUGAUCAGUCCAUGAUAUCUGUAUAAUAAACAUUGUUUUUCAUUUUGUAUGCUUUAUUUUGAAACAGGAAGUUACCUGUAACAUGUCAGGUGACUUAUAAACAGGAAGUGAAUGAAGGGCGGGGCUCAGAGCUGUUGUUUUUGCCUGCAUCUCAAGCCUUUUGAUGGCAUCGUUGAUAUGUAUUGAUUUGUUUCAUUGUUAUUGAUGAUCGCAGAUGAUUGUUUUGUUUAUGAAGAAAGUCCAUGGAGUCAUUAUAGUUACUGUUUACUCAGCUAGGACUGUUGUUAAAGUUCAUAUGAGAGAAUAAAUACAAUAAAUAUGAAUAAAUAGUUGAUGAUAUGUUCAAAUACAUUAAAAUACAGGUUUACAGGAACAUAAUUGAUAAAUAAGCCAUAAAUACAUAAAAGGUAGCAGUUAAAAAACAAAGCAAUUUAUUUCAUUUAAGAGUCAGUAUAUUUACGUUGUGUGUAUGUGUAAGCAUAAAAAGAAAGCGUUUCAUUGGUGUGUUUUAGUUUGACUUGUGGACAAUGGACGACUGUCUCCAGAGUCAGGAAGGAGUUUGUCUUACUGCCCAGACGGCAACAUAACAACAGUCCAGAUAUUCCUGAUCAAACUCCAGUUGACAAACCAAAAAAAAGGUCAGUUUUUGUUAAAAUGACCUUUGCAUGAAUUUAUAUCAAAUACAGAAUAAAUGAUGAGCGCCAUCAUUUACACAAUCCACAUGUUGUCAUCACAUUCUGUCAAAUCAACAGGCUAUUAAAAACAAAGCACCUGAUGCAGUAAUUUAUAAUCAUAAUCAUAUUUAACAGCCUUUUCUUUCCCAAACACUGUUCAGCAUCAUGCUUGAUGGGACUGUUAAAUGGUAAUAACGUAUACACAUUGUGUUUGGGACUACGUUUGUCACGGGUUCACCGUCACUAACUCUCCUGCCACCUGAGUCUCCUCACCUGAGUCUCCUCACCUGGAUCCCAUUAUGCUCAUCAGUCCCUCCUUAUAUAUAUAUACUGGUCCACAUUCACAUGCUCCUCGCCAGGUUGUCCAGUGUGUUUGCAAAGUGUUCCAGCAUUUCUAUAUCUACCUGUUCACUUGCCUGUUACCUGACAUCCUGCCUGUUUCCUGGUCUUUCCCUCAGAGUUGUCUGCCUGUAUGGAGGAUGUGUUGCACUUUGUUGAAACCACAACAGGAUUUAAACUGUGUGUGGACAGAGAAGACAGACAGGAGCGUUCAGCAGUGGAAAAGGAGAAAAGCUGCGUCUCCUGCCGGUGCUCUGAUGAUGGUCCAUACAGGAGAGGCAGCAUCACUCAGGAAGGAGUUUUUGACUGGUAAGUUGAUCAUUUAACUGUUUUAUUCUGAUAUAAAACAAAACAGGGUUUCAGGUAGUGAAAACAGAUUCUUUGGAGGAAAACCAGGGUGAAACUCUCAGAUACUCUUUGACAGACCUUCAUAACUUCAGGUUGGUAACGUACAAGUUCUAUAAUCUAUAAUGUUUUAACACCUGUUGUAUUCUCUGCUUUAUUUCUCCGUCUCUGAUGUUGCACUGAUGAAAUAAUAUCAAACUGGACAGCACAGAAAGCAUCAUUCACUGUUGUUUAACAUUUUAAAUUUUUUCAAUUUUUAAAAUGUUUACUUUUCAAACCAGUGUUUAAUUUUCCUGUGCUUUUCUUCAAAGAGCAGUCGUCUUACAUUCUCCAACGAGACUGAUUCUGAUGCUGCAGCAGCUUCUAAAGGUCAUGAACCGUUCGGUCUGGACCAGACGGAGACAAACCCUGAAGCUUGUUGCUCCGUUUGUUCCCGGGAAGAAAAGUGAGCAAAGAAUUGAUUUUUAAAUGCCACUUAUUCUCUUCUUACAGACAUUCUCCUUCUGUUUUAUAUUUCUCAUAUAUUUCCUUUAAUAAACUGAGUUUGAACACUGAAAAGAUAUUUGACCAAAUCUGUAUUCAUCCUUUUAUAACCUGAUGCUGAUUUCAUAAUGAUGAACUGAACCACAUGUCAGAGAUAAAGGGAAAUCUAAUGGUCAUCAGAUAGAUGUCAGGUACUAUAUCUACUGUACAGUGUUCAUACACACAUCACCAUUUGAAUAUUUUACUGAUUUGAAUGUACCGAGCACAUAUAAACGUUCUGAGGUAAUCCCACAUCCUCAUCCUCCCUGAUGAAGAGACACGUUUCACAACAACAUGCAACUUUUCACCAUGAACGCAGGAAGAUCGUUCAGUUUGUUACCUGAUUGUGAGUUCAUGUACUCGGACUGUGACUUUUCCAGUGAAGCAUCUCAGCACUUUGAGUUUAGAUGAAUCAUGAGUGAAGCAGUCAGAUAUGGUGAUGCUCUACUAGAAUUAAAUGUUGUUUCUAGAUAUUUGCAGUUGGAAUAAUGUUAAUGGAUGUUUGAUGAAUUCUGAAAUAAAAAAACAUAAAUAGAAUUUGUCUCAUGCAGGAUCCUUUGCUUUGUUAGUUGGAAAAGCAUCAAUUUAGUUUUAUUUUAAUGAAGCCACCGUUAUUUUAUAUCUGUCCACGUUCACUUUGCUGCUGUUGAGUUCUCAUCUUUUAUUAUGUCUGCAGGUAUUAUUAUUAUUUAUGCAUAAAAUGUUGCAUCUCAAUUCAGUGAGAGUGAACAGACAUCUGUAGAGAAAUUAAUCACAUUGUAUAAUUUUUUUUUUUAAUGGAGCUACACAGAAUCACAACAACUAUUGCUCCUGUUAGUAACACUUCCCAAAGGGUUUUAUAUUAGAGCUACUCCUUUAACUGCCUUUUCUGCUUGUCCGUUAGGAACUUUUAUGUCAAAAUAACAAUCAACCAUCAUCACCCUCCAGCUGAAGAGUUCUUCUAAAGAGCUGGAGAUAAAAUAUAC